CUACUGGAAGGUCCAAACUUCCACGGCAGACGUCCAUUAGACGUCUAUUGGAGGUUUUAGUUCUAUGUGGGUUCUUUGGUCUGUGGUCGAAUUUUUCGAUAAUUUGGAAGAAUCAGCUGCUAUCGAGGUAAUACCAACAAUAUGGAUCUCAGUUAUCAACAAUGAAAUAACGUGCAAAUAGCCUGACAAAAAUCCUCAGAAAGCUAUAAAAAAAUGUGCAGCCCCAAAAAGUUUUUGGAAAAUAUAUAAAAUUAAAACUAUAUUACUUCAAACUGAUACAUACAAGUCUGCUUUGGAAUUUGCAAUUAAAAAAACUCAAACCGAUACUGAUAUAUCCGUUCCAGAAGUUCAUAAAAGAAGGAAACCAAAAAGAAAAAAACCUAAAUGAUUAUAUGACCACUAAGCUUAGUGACAAUUCUAAAAGCCACCUCCUCCAAAACUUCCAACACUAUGUGAUUCCGCAAUAGAUCGUGGAAUGUAUUUCCAAAGGAUGAUACAAACAUUGCUCCAAGUGACAAGACAAUAAAUGAUAAUGAUCUUCACGAUAACGAUAAAGAAAAUCGAAGUCCGAACGAGAUUAAAACUAACAAUUUGGAUUGUUUAAAAAACAAGAAUGAGGAUCUUGAAUCCUAUCAUAGGAUUGGGAAUGCAUCGCAGGAAAUCAUGUUUACACCAAAUUUCGUACGCAACAUUUUAUUUGAAGAUUUACCAUCAGACAGUCAGAAUAUCAUCAAGAUUUUGGAAAAUACAAUAGUGAUUAGGAAGUUAUUGGAAGAACAGAAGACAUUUUUGGAACAAAAGAAAGAAAACGCACCAGUCUGACCCAAAUUGUAAUAACUUGUCUAUUCCAACAAAACCGUAUAAAAAAUUUAAAAAAUUGCAAGGGUAUAAUACUUCAUUGAGGAUUAAUACAAACAAAAGA
rnacentral:lncRNA from 13 species